AGAGGUGAGGGGUACUUCGGGGGUAGGAGUGAAAUCCUGUAAUCCUCGAGGGACCACCUGUGGCGAAGGCGCCUCGACCAGAACGGCUUCGACAGUGAGGGACGAAAGCUGGGGGAGCAAACCGGAUUAGAUACCCGGGUAGUCCCAGCCGUAAACGAUGCGCGUUAGGUGUAUCGACGACCACGAGUCGUCGAGGUGCCGAAGGGAAACCGUGAAACGUACCGCCUGGGAAGUACGGUCGCAAGGCUGAAACUUAAAGGAAUUGGCGGGGGAGCACCACAACAGGUGGAGCCUGCGGUUUUAAAAUUGGACUCAACGCCGGGAAGCUCACCGGAUAAGACAGCUGAAUGAUUGCCGGGCUGAAGACUCUGCAUGAACUAGCUGAGGAGUGGUGCAUGG
rnacentral:rRNA from 1 species